rnacentral:rRNA from 1 species
AUGCUUCUCCUAAAGACUAAGCCAUGCAUGCCCCGAAUAUGAGGAAGCAAUUCUCUCUGAAUCUGCGAACGGCUCCGCAAACCAGUUGUAAACCAUAGCGAGCAUGCCUGGGUCUGGCUUCGGUCGGGCUCGGGAGAAACGGAUAACCCUGGUAAUUCUGAGGCUAAUACGAGACCGUAAUCCCUGGUUGGUCGGGCAACUGACUGGCUGGGGAGCGUGUGAUCUUCCGCUGAUUUUUUCCGGGAACGGGUA